UACGUAGGGGGCGAGCGUUGUCCGGAAUUACUGGGCGUAAAGCGCGCGUAGGCGGCCUGAGUAGUCGCAGGUGAAAUCCCACGGCUUAACCGUGGAACUGCCUGCGAAACCAUUAGGCUUGAGGACAGGAGAGGGAAGCGGAAUUCCUGGUGUAGCGGUGAAAUGCGUAGAUAUCAGGAGGAACACCAGUGGCGAAGGCGGCUUCCUGGCCUGGUCCUGACGCUGAGGUGCGAAAGCUAGGGGAGCGAACAGG
rnacentral:rRNA from 1 species